AGAGUUUGAUCCUGGCUCAGGAUGAACGCCGGCUGUGUGCCUAAUACAUGCAAGUCGUACGCACUGGCCCAACUGAUUGAUGGUGCUUGCACCUGAUUGACGAUGGAUCACCAGUGAGUGGCGGACGGGUGAGUAACACGUAGGUAACCUGCCCCGGAGCGGGGGAUAACAUUUGGAAACAGAUGCUAAUACCGCAUAACAACAAAAGCCACAUGGCUUUUGUUUGAAAGAUGGCCUUGGCUAUCACUCUGGGAUGGACCUGCGGUGCAUUAGCUAGUUGGUAAGGUAACGGCUUACCAAGGCAAUGAUGCAUAGCCGAGUUGAGAGACUGAUCGGCCACAAUGGAACUGAGACACGGUCCAUACUCCUACGGGAGGCAGCAGUAGGGAAUCUUCCACAAUGGGCGCAAGCCUGAUGGAGCAACACCGCGUGAGUGAAGAAGGGUUUCGGCUCGUAAAGCUCUGUUGUUGGAGAAGAACGUGCGUGAGAGUAACUGUUCACGCAGUGACGGUAUCCAACCAGAAAGUCACGGCUAACUACGUGCCAGCAGCCGCGGUAAUACGUAGGUGGCAAGCGUUAUCCGGAUUUAUUGGGCGUAAAGCGAGCGCAGGCGGUUGCUUAGGUCUGAUGUGAAAGCCUUCGGCUUAACCGAAGAAGUGCAUCGGAAACCGGGCGACUUGAGUGCAGAAGAGGACAGCGGAACUCCAUGUGUAGCGGUGGAAUGCGUAGAUAUAUGGAAGAACACCAGUGGCGAAGGCGGCUGUCUGGUCUGCAACUGACGCUGAGGCUCGAAAGCAUGGGUAGCGAACAGGAUUAGAUACCCUGGUAGUCCAUGCCGUAAACGAUGAGUGCUAGGUGUUGGAGGGUUUCCGCCCUUCAGUGCCGGAGCUAACGCAUUAAGCACUCCGCCUGGGGAGUACGACCGCAAGGUUGAAACUCAAAGGAAUUGACGGGGGCCCGCACAAGCGGUGGAGCAUGUGGUUUAAUUCGAAGCUACGCGAAGAACCUUACCAGGUCUUGACAUCUUGCGCUAACCUUAGAGAUAAGGCGUUCCCUUCGGGGACGCAAUGACAGGUGGUGCAUGGUCGUCGUCAGCUCGUGUCGUGAGAUGUUGGGUUAAGUCCCGCAACGAGCGCAACCCUUGUUACUAGUUGCCAGCAUUAAGUUGGGCACUCUAGUGAGACUGCCGGUGACAAACCGGAGGACGGUGGGGACGACGUCAGAUCAUCAUGCCCCUUAUGACCUGGGCUACACACGUGCUACAAUGGACGGUACAACGAGUCGCAAGCUCGCGAGAGUAAGCUAAUCUCUUAAAGCCGUUCUCAGUUCGGACUGUAGGCUGCAACUCGCCUACACGAAGUCGGAAUCGCUAGUAAUCGCGGAUCAGCAUGCCGCGGUGAAUACGUUCCCGGGCCUUGCACACAAAGCCCGUCA
rnacentral:rRNA from 1 species